GAUGAAGAACGUAGCGAAAUGCGAUACGUAAUGUGAAUUGCAGAUUUCAGUGAAUCAUCGAAUCUUUGAACGCACAUUGCGCCCCUUGGUAUUCCGAGGGGCAUGCCUAUUCGAGCGUCAUUAUCACCCCUCAAGCCUAGCUUGGUGUUGAGACCUGCUGUCAAGGCAGUCUCUAAAAUCAGUGGCAGUGCUGUCAGGCUCUAAGCGUAGUAAAUCUAAUCGCUAUAGACACCUGGUGGACACUCGCCAGAACCCCCCCAUUUUUUAAUGAUUGACCUCGGAUUAGGUAGGGAUACCCGCUGAACUUAAGCAUAUCAAUAAGCGGAGGA
rnacentral:misc_RNA from 1 species